GAUGAACGCUAGCGGCAGGCUUAACACAUGCAAGUCGAGGGGCAGCGGGAUGUAGCAAUACAUUGCCGGCGACCGGCGCAAGGGUGCGUAACGCGUGAGUAACAUGCCCGUAUCAGGAGGAUAACCCGGAGAAAUCCGGACUAAUACUGCAUAAUAUUAUUAAGAGGCAUCUUUUGAUAAUUAAAACUUUGGUGGAUACGGAUUGGCUCGCGUGACAUUAGCUAGAUGGUAAGGUAACGGCUUACCAUGGCGACGAUGUCUAGGGGUUCUGAGAGGAAGGUCCCCCACACUGGAACUGAGACACGGUCCAGACUCCUACGGGAGGCAGCAGUGAGGAAUAUUGGACAAUGGAUGGAAAUCUGAUCCAGCCAUGCCGCGUGAAGGAAUACGGUCCUAUGGAUUUUAAACUCUUUCGUAUGGGAGCAAUAAGGUGUAUGUAUACAUUGAUGAGAGUACCAUACGAAUAAGUAUCGGCUAACU
rnacentral:rRNA from 1 species